GAAUCAUAGCACAGGAGGCAAACCGGGGGAACUGAAACAUCUAAGUACCCCGAGGAAGAGAAAUCAACCGAGAUUCCGAAAGUAGCGGCGAGCGAAAUUGGAUUAGCCCUUAAGCUUUUAAUGAUGCAGGUGAAGAGUCUGGAAAGUCUCGCANUAAAGGGUGAUAGCCCCGUAACCGACACNUCAUAAUCAGUGAAAACGAGUAGGGCGGGACACGUGAUAUCCUGUCUGAAUAUGGGGGGACCAUCCUCCAAGGCUAAAUACUACUGACUGACCGAUAGUGAACCAGUACCGUGAGGGAAAGGCGAAAAGAACCCCUGUGAGGGGAGUGAAAUAGAACCUGAAACCGUGUACGUACAAGCAGUAGGAGCACCUUCGUGGUGUGACUGCGUACCUUUUGUAUAAUGGGUCAGC
rnacentral:rRNA from 1 species